UACAGAGACCUCAAGCGUUAUCCGGAAUCAUUGGGCGUAAAGCGUACCGAUAGGUGGUUUAUAAAGUCUUGGGUAAAAGCCGGAAGCUUAACUUCCGCGUUUGCUUAAGAUACUUAUAGACUAGAGGGGCAAAGAGGUGCUUGGAACCAACGGUGUAGUAGUGAAAUGCGUUGAUAUCGUUGGGAACACCGAAAGCGAAGGCAGAGCACUGGGUGCCACCUGACACUGCUAGGACGAAAGCGUGGGGAGCGAAUGGG
rnacentral:rRNA from 1 species